CUCCAGUGUAUCAAUUGCUCAAUAAAUGAAAUAAUUCAUUCACAUAUUAAUUUUAUCAUGGUAUCAGAGCUCCUAGAUUAAACAAAAUUUAUACCCUGCCAUGGAUGACUUUGCCCCUACUGCUGUGUCGGAUGCCACCAAGUCCUUCACAGAUGCCUCUUCACCCUAUUUUCUACACUCGUUUGAACAGCCCAACCAAUUUCUCGUAGAUGCAGUCCUCAAUGGGGAUAACUACCCUGCUUGGCGUCGAUCCAUAACACGUGCCUUAAAUGCCAAGAACAAGUUGGGUUUCGUUCUCGGUACCAUUAAACGUCCAACCACCAAUACAGCAGCUGCACUUUUCUGGGAUCGAUGUUGUGAUAUGGUAAUGUCUUGGCUCUUGCAUUCCAUUGAUCGAUUUCUCACCGAAAGUCUCCUCUAUUGUGCAACACCUAAAGGAUCUAUGGAUCGAACUAGAAACAAGGUUUCAACAGAGUAACCGAACCAAAAUCCUCAUAUUGAAAUGUGAACUGGCCAACCUCAAUCAAGAACAACAUUCCAUCACAACCUAUUACGAAAAAUUGAAAGAAAUCUGGGAUGAAUUAUCUUCACUCCAGUCCACAACGCCAUGUACUUGUGGUGCAGCCAAAACUCUCUCUAAAGUUCAUAAUUCAAACCGCGUCUACCAGUUUAUCAUGGAGCUGAAUGAUAGCUACCAACAGCUUCGAUCCCAAAUCUUGGCCAUGGAUCCCCUCCCUUCAAUUGGGCGUUGAUAUGCUAUUCUCCACCAAGAAGAAGCCCAGCCUUGUCCAAUUACCAGCCUCUCUAUCGAAAUUUUCAGCCCUAGUGGCCCGCUCAUCGACUUUACAACAGGCCCCAAGUUCACGGCGUGUCUAGCUAGCUGGGACGCCACUGUGCGAAGCUUGUGGGAAACCAGGACAUCAUCAUGCAAAGUGUUUUUGAGAUCAUUGGUUACCCGGAAUGGUGGCCAUCGAAGGGAAAGCGUAAAGGACAGCUAACCUCCACACCGGCAGUCCACCAAAUUUCAGCUGGCUCUGGGUCUUCCAUCAACUCACCUCUUGAUCGUGAGCUGUCCGAUUCUUGAUCUCACCACCGAGCAGUAUAGCCAAUUAAUGGAGCUCCUGAAACCUCCAAAUCUCUCCUUUGUAGGUUCUCUCUCGCCCCCCUUUUUUGAUUCCAAACCUUAGGUAAUUGAUAGUGGUGCAACAUACCAUAUCACCACCUCCCAUUUAAAUAUUCC
rnacentral:lncRNA from 1 species